UGUUGCCGUACGGAACCGCGCGGGCUGCCGGGAGCAAGCGGGGAAGCGAAGCAAGCAGCGCGCCGCCAUCUUGGUGUACGGAAUGGAGAGCGGCGUGAUGACGCACUUCCGGCGGCGCUGAGGCGGGAAAGUUGAGCCCCAAAUCUUUGGGAUUUUCUGGGAAUUCCCAAGGAUGGAUCCUGGGAAGGAAGAGCAGGAAAAUGAAGAGAAAAUGGAAAUUCCACAGGUGCCGGGGGUGCUGUCCCAGCUGUGCGAGCUGGAGCGGCGGGAGCGGCGCCGGGCGCUGCGGGGGGAGCGGCGGGAGCGCGGCCGGCAG